rnacentral:rRNA from 1 species
CCUACGGGAGGCAGCAGUAGGGAAUUUUCGUCAAUGGGCGCAAGCCUGAACGAGCGAUGCCGCGUGAGUGAAGAAGGCCUUCGGGUCGUAAAGCUCUAUCAGCAGGGAAGAAAAUGACGGUACCUGAGUAAGAAGCCCCGGCUAACUACGUGCCAGCAGCCGCGGUAAUACGUAGGGGGCACGCGUUAUCCGGAUUUACUGGGCGUAAAGCGCUCGUAGGCGGUAUGUCAAGUCAAGGGUGAAAUCCCCGCGCUCAACGUGGGAACUGCCUUUGAAACUGGCAAACUGGAGUGUGUGAGAGGAUAGUGGAAUUCCAGGUGUAGGAGUGAAAUCCGUAGAUAUCUGGAGGAACAUCAGUGGCGAAGGCGACUAUCUGGCACAUAACUGACGCUGAGGAGCGAAAGCGUGGGUAGCAAACAGGAUUAGAUACCCUUGUAGUC